rnacentral:lncRNA from 1 species
CGCUGGGGGUGCCUUCGUUGGCUGGUUCCAGCGUGGAGGCGAGCUGCGUUUCGAGAGGCUUCCCGACGGGUGGCAGCCUCGUCGGCCGGCGGCCGCGCCACGACCCGCCUCCACCCUCCACUCCCUUUGUCGCGCUGGCUGUGGCCCGGCCUACGUUGGUUGUCCCCGCCCCCUUCCUACAACCAGCGAAAGCUGACCCCGCGUAAGAUCAAUGGCCUUCACAGCAGCAACAUCUAUUCAACGCCCCGAAUUCUUCAACCAGUUGGACGAGCUUCCAUGGCCUUUUUGUCCUAGCUGCUAAGACAUUCAGGUUUCUCUCUUUACCUCUUUCCUUUUGUCCCUUUGUAUGUGUGCGCGCGCAUAUGCAGGACGAGUAUUGUGCAGAAAGAGUAUAAAGAUCAGGAGUCAAUUUACAUCCUAUCUGACAUAGAUCUUUUUUUACUAGUUAGGUUUAUGAUUUGGCUCUCGCCUGUGUAUAAGUUUAUUCCUAAUCAGGAAUCAGCUACCGUACCACCGUAGCAUUUCUCUCAUUCUGAAUCUUAAAUGUAUUUUAGAAAUACUAUAUUAAUUAUUUAAUUUAUGACAUAAUUUGAGAAUGGUCAAACAAAAGUUGUUGUUUUGUUGCAAACCUAGAUGUUUCCAUUUUUCAAAUGUCAUGUAAUGUUUCUCAUAGGCUCGACAUAUACAUCUGCAUUUGUGCUUGGCUGUCUAUCCAAAUUCAAUUUCUUCCUUUAUUUUUGUUGGUUCGGUGAUGCUUUUUUCUCAGAGCUUAGGUAUACUGUUGUUAGCUGAAUUUGAUCAUAGACUGAUCUUCUUUCCAUGUCAUGCAAAAGCAACAACCUUCUCUUUAUGUUGUGAUUUACAAAAUGUUAUAGGUAUACCGUUUCUAGCUGAAUUUAGUUGACUGAUCUGAUUUCAAUGCCAUCCGAAACAGCAACCUUCUCUUUAUGUUGUGAUUUUAAAAUUUGUUAUAGCUCUGGUUUGAGUGGAACCACUGAAAUUCUUGGUGGUGGAUGAUCAGAAGUUCAUUUUUGCUUGCUUGCCAUCAUGCCAUGAUUCUUUUUUUUUUUUGCCAUGAUUCUUGGCCUCGAUAUGUUCAAAUCAUGAACCGGGGGGCAUCAAUUAAAGGUGCAUGCACUUCAUGUUUUGUGAUGCUGAAGAUGAUGCUCAUUUAAUCAUUUAUAGAUGUAGAUAUUGAUUUUACAUACUAUUGAUAAAACAGUCUUCCUUGCCUUAUGCUCCCUUUUCUCCCUAGCUAUUUCAUAUUAGGUUCUGCCAAUUCUCAUGGUCCAUUGUGCUACCUACUUGUGUAGGUUCCUUGUCUAAACUAAUGGUAUUAUUUACUACAUAUAGAAGAAUAUCUUCACCAUGGAUGUGUGGAGAUAGGUAAUUUGUGUUGAAACAUAAUUAAUAAGUGCUAAAAUAGAGCAUGCAGGUUACAUUUGUGUGUACCUGUUAGCACCUUUGCCAAGAAAAAAAAAAUCUAUGCAUACAGUUCUGGUCAAUGGUAAAUAGAGUAUCUGAGUGGAAAGGAUGGAGCGUGUGCAUUAACAUUUUUAGCAUGAUGCUUUAUUUUUUAGUCGGUCUAUAAACCUUAUAUUAAGCUGCAGUUUAAUGUUUCUAACUGAAAACUGUGACUUACAAUUCUUUUGGUGGAAUUUCUAAACAAUGAGAAGUCCAGACUUGAAUUAGGUAUUCAAGAGAAGUCCAGACUUGAAUUUGAAUAUGAGCGCGACCUUGAGCAAUGGUGCCGAUGAGCUGACCCAUGCGGCUAGAUCCUAGAUGAGUGUGAAUUGGUUGUCCAAUGACUUGCGCUAGAAGGUUGUGGCGUUCACUCCCAGCACGCCCAACAGCCAAGCAAUGGCCGCAGUGCUGCCGGAUUUCUGGGAUGGAGUCGACGGGGAGGGCGGCGAAAAAGACGUGCGCCCACGUGUUGUACUCCCAUGGUCUCACUAGUCUACGGCCUGCGGGCUAGGAUACAGGUCGAGGGCCUCGGCCGGGCUGCGCAGUUGGUUGGCCUCUAAUUUUUUAACACACAAAUUGUCCAUACUGCUAAUACUCCCUCCGUUCGAAAAAGCUUGUCCCUCAAAUGGAUGUAUCUAGCAUCAAGUUAGUGCUAAAUACAUCCAUUUGAGGGACAACCUUGGGACAAGCUUUUUCGGACGGAGGGAAUACCUUUUUAAGUGAGGGGUAAGUUUUAAUCUAAACCAUAUAUCUUUCUCAAAAAUUGUGAACUUUCCAAAGAAGGGUGUAAUGAAGCACAACUCAUAGAAUAAAUAAAUUUAGUAGUAUGUAAUAUAAUUAUUUAGCAUGCACUAGAAGCUGCAGUUGCUUGAUUAACCAUGAUCUAGAAUCUUUUUAGGUAUAUAGCUGGCGUCUUUCUAUACGUGCUAUGAUUUCAUACUAUUAUUUAAUUAUUGGCUAAUCCUAGAUUUUAGUCUCUCAGUUUUUGAGUAAGAGUUAAUUUACGUUGAUCAAAUAUGAUUGAAUUCACAUUAUCCUUUAGGAUAAGAUUCGAUGCGGUAAUGCUACUAAGAAUAUAACACGAAGAUACUAGAAUAGUACAACUUGUCGUGUGACAUUGCUGGGUGCUAGGCCAUAAGGGCCACUACAUCUUGGGGUAUAUUUGUAUUUUUGGAGAAUCAGUCUGGUUGUGCAACUAAAGAAGUUUUCACCAAGUGUGAAGAAUCUGAUAUUUUUGGUAGGGAAAAUUGAUUUUUUUUCUUUCUAAUUGCAAGUUUAGUUCACCAGUAAUCUCGUACUUGCUCUCUGUUUUCUGAUUUGCCAGGAAAAUGAGGAAUGGGAACUCUGCCACGAAAGCGAGGUGGUGAAGGUGUUUGUAAGAGACUUGAAGAUGAAGAGCAAUUAUCGAAGUUGUGGUUGUGCAAAUAAAACAUGGCACCGUGCAUAGGUUUGCUGAGACGCUGAGGGAUAGACCUGUAGGUUUUCUCUCAUCCAUAGGUCUACGUACGUUGUACUCAUCGGUAAAACACAUUGACAUAACUCACCAUAAGCUGGAUGAACAAAUAUAUCGUUUUAAUUGGUUUUUGAAUAGUUGGUCCUGGGUGAGGAUUAAAAAUUCCUCACCCAGGUUUCUUCACCCAGGGUGAUUUGUCUGGUUCACGAGAUGGGUAGGGUGAAGUAUAAGAAUUCCUCUAACUUACUGCAUUUUGUACGUAUGAAUUUACUGCUAUUUCUUCUAAAUUGUACUUGGUUUGUUCCUUAUGAUUAAAAUUGGUUUCACUUUCCUGGAACAGACUUUGCAGCCCAAUACAAAUAUACUU